AGCUAGCAGAAGAAAUUGCGUGGAAAAGAAGAUACGUUUUGUCGAAAAAUCUGUCCAAGGACUUGGUGUUAAGGAAAGACUUUGAAUGGUAAGAGUUUCUUCACUUUUCUUCUGCUUUUAAUGCACUAAAUGGUGAACCCAUUUGGUCUUUCCAAGUUGGUACUGGCAAAAGCCUAACUGAAUGCAGAAAAAUAUUCAACUUGACACCUCAGGCAAUUAAGACACUACUUCCUAGACAAUGAAUUCAAUUCAAAUUUUCUGAAGUUAAAAUUUAUACAAUUACGAAUAAUCAUGAACACAUUUCAUGCAGAUGACAGAUGAGCACAAGUAAUAAAUCAUAAAUUAGAUCUUUAAAUUAAUAAAUCGUAAAUUAGAUUCCACAACAAUAGAAUUAAUCAACACUCGUAUCAUAUCAAGUUCUUUUUAUCACUUAAGUUACCACGAACAGCUGUGACAACCGGGAGGCUUUACAGUGGCCGAUGGGAGCUGCAACUGUUAGGAUGCUAUUGUGCUGGCUGAGGCUGAUUCGCUGACUUUGCUAUCAUGAGCUGAGCUAGGGCUACCGUGAGGCAUGAGAUACUGUCGUGGGCUGCUGUGGUCGAUUCAGGCCGUCAGCAGCGAUGCUGUCGUGGACUCGUGAGGCUGUGUUGGCUGUCGUGGUGUGCUGUCCUGGCUGUCGUGCCGACGUGGAAGCAACCGGCGGCCAAAUUCGAGAGAGAAGGAGUCGAGGAGAUGCUGGCUGCUAGUGUUCGUUCUGUGGUUUUGGGAAAUUGUCAUUUGUCAAUUGGGAUCGGGUUGCACCGUAAGAGUUUUAGUUUUUUUUUUUUUUUCAAUGUAAGCGGUUGUUACUAUUAACCGAAUUGCAAAACCAAUCGGGUUAAAGAAUUUAAUCCGAUUGAUUUUUAGGUUAAUCCGAACUGAACCAAAUCAAAAGUUGAAUAAAAAUUUAAGUUCGGACCUGAAUAAAAAGCCACCAAUUAUAUGCAAUCAAUUGAUUUAUGCAAGUAAAGGUUGUGUCAAAGUCAUGGGCGGUUUGGCACCAUUAACAUAUUUCAAAAUGGCCACCCAAAUUGAAGGCCAAGUAGAUGCCGCCCAAGGAAAGAAACAAAAGAGAAAGAAGAAAAGAAGAAAGAGAGAAGAAAAAGAGAUGUC
rnacentral:lncRNA from 1 species